rnacentral:rRNA from 1 species
AUACAUGCGAGUCGAGCGAAUGGAUUGAGAGCUUGCUCUCAAGAAGUUAGCGGCGGACGGGUGAGUAACACGUGGGUAACCUGCCCAUAAGACUGGGAUAACUCCGGGAAACCGGGGCUAAUACCGGAUAACAUUUUGAACCGCAUGGUUCGAAAUUGAAAGGCGGCUUCGGCUGUCACUUAUGGAUGGACCCGCGUCGCAUUAGCUAGUUGGUGAGGUAACGGCUCACCAAGGCAACGAUGCGUAGCCGACCUGAGAGGGUGAUCGGCCACACUGGGACUGAGACACGGCCCAGACUCCUACGGGAGGCAGCAGUAGGGAAUCUUCCGCAAUGGACGAAAGUCUGACGGAGCAACGCCGCGUGAGUGAUGAAGGCUUUCGGGUCGUAAAACUCUGUUGUUAGGGAAGAACAAGUGCUAGUUGAAUAAGCUGGCACCUUGACGGUACCUAACCAGAAAGCCACGGCUAACUACGUGCCAGCAGCCGCGGUAAUACGUAGGUGGCAAGCGUUAUCCGGAAUUAUUGGGCGUAAAGCGCGCGCAGGUGGUUUCUUAAGUCUGAUGUGAAAGCCCACGGCUCAACCGUGGAGGGUCAUUGGAAACUGGGAGACUUGAGUGCAGAAGAGGAAAGUGGAAUUCCAUGUGUAGCGGUGAAAUGCGUAGAGAUAUGGAAGAACACCAGUGGCGAAGGCGACUUUCUGGUCUGUAACUGACACUGAGGCGCGAAAGCGUGGGGAGCAAACGGGAUUAGAUACCCGGGUAGUCCACGCCGUAAACGAUGAAUGCUAAGUGUUAGAGGGUUUCCCCCCUUUAAUGCUGAAGUUAACGCAUUUAGCACUCCGCCUGGGGAGUACGGCCCCAAGGCUUAAACUCCAAGGAAUUGACGGGGGCCCGCCAAAACGGUGGAACAAGUGGUUUAAUUCAAACCACCCCGAAAAACCUUACCAGGGCUUGAAUUCCUCGAAAAACCCCUGAGAUAGGGCUUCCCCUUCGGGAACAAAUUAACAAGUGGUGCAAGGUUGCCUCCACCCCCAGGCCUGAAAGGUUGGGUUAAGUCCCCCAACGAAGGCAACCCUUGACCUUAAUUGCCCCCAUUAAUUUGGGCCCUUAAAGGUAACCGCCGGUG